rnacentral:rRNA from 1 species
UACAGAGGUCUCAAGCGUUGUUCGGAUUCAUUGGGCGUAAAGGGUGCGUAGGCGGCGCGGUAAGUCGGGUGUGAAAUCUCGGGGCUUAACUCCGAAACUGCAUUCGAUACUGCCGUGCUUGAGGACUGGAGAGGAGACUGGAAUUUACGGUGUAGCGGUGAAAUGCGUAGAUAUCUGGAGGAACACCGGUGGCGAAGGCGGCGUCCUGGACCAACACUGACACUGAUGAGCGAAAGCCAGGGGAGCAAACGGG